rnacentral:rRNA from 2 species
UUGAUCCUGGCUCAGGACGAACGCUGGCGGCGUGCCUAAUACAUGCAAGUCGAACGAACUCUGGUAUUGAUUGGUGCUUGCAUCAUGAUUUACAUUUGAGUGAGUGGCGAACUGGUGAGUAACACGUGGGAAACCUGCCCAGAAGCGGGGGAUAACACCUGGAAACAGAUGCUAAUACCGCAUAACAACUUGGACCGCAUGGUCCGAGUUUGAAAGAUGGCUUCGGCUAUCACUUUUGGAUGGUCCCGCGGCGUAUUAGCUAGAUGGUGGGGUAACGGCUCACCAUGGCAAUGAUACGUAGCCGACCUGAGAGGGUAAUCGGCCACAUUGGGACUGAGACACGGCCCAAACUCCUACGGGAGGCAGCAGUAGGGAAUCUUCCACAAUGGACGAAAGUCUGAUGGAGCAACGCCGCGUGAGUGAAGAAGGGUUUCGGCUCGUAAAACUCUGUUGUUAAAGAAGA